rnacentral:rRNA from 1 species
UACAGAGGUCUCAAGCGUUGUUCGGAUCCAUUGGGCGUAAAGGGUGCGUAGGCGGCGCGGUAAGUCGGGUGUGAAAUCUCGGAGCUUAACUCCGAAACUGCAUUCGAUACUGCCGUGCUUGAGGACUGGAGAGGAGACUGGAAUUUACGGUGUAGCGGUGAAAUGCGUAGAUAUCGUAAGGAAGACCAGUGGCGAAGGCGGGUCUCUGGACAGUUCCUGACGCUGAGGCACGAAGGCCAGGGGAGCAAACGGG